rnacentral:rRNA from 1 species
AUUGAACGCUGGCGGCAGGCCUAACACAUGCAAGUCGAGCGAGCGGCGGACGGGUGAGUAAUGUAUGGGGACUGCCCGAUAGAGGGGGAUAACUACUGGAAACGGUGGCUAAUACCGCAUACGAUCGGAUAACCCAUAUGGGAUUAGCUAGUAGGUGGGUUAAAGGCUCACCUAGUCGACGAUCUCUAGCUGGUCUGAGAGGAUGACCAGCCAAACUGGGACGGAGACACGGCCCAGACUCCUACGGAGGCAGCAGUGGGGAAUAUUGGACAAUGGGCGCAAGCCGGAUGCAGCCAGGCCGCGUGUAUGAAGAAGGCCUUAGGGUUGUAAAGUACUUUCAGCGGGGAGGCGUUACCCGCAGAAGAAGCACCGGCUAACUCCGUGCCAGCCGCCGCGGUAAUUC